UAUAGCCAAGUUAUAGACGUGGGUUCUAAGAAGAUUAAGUCGCUCCAGUUCCAGCGACGUACUGGGGGGAGUGUCACAUCUCUGCGGAUUGUGUCGAACCUCACUCUAACACCUUGGCGUCGCGAACUGUCAUGAGAAUAGGUAUAUAGAAACAAAAGGUAAAUAAAAACAUUUUAUGAGUCGAAGUGAUAGGAUUGGAAAGAUAAUUGAAUAAACUGAUUGCCUUUAGAACGAAUAACGAAGUUGAAAUCAUAAAUAGGACUAGACUGAAUAGGUUGGAAAUUGUAGCAGAGGACUAAACGGAUUUUUUACCGACUGACAAUAUACGUUAUCAAACCGGAAAUAGCGACUUUUUCCAACAAGUACUGAAAAUGGCGGACAACCAUUCACAAAUAUCAACAACGCAGCACUGACAUUCACAAUCGUUGGGUAGUACCACACUCGCCUUAGCUGAGCAAAACAUUCAAUGCUCAUACUAAUGUUGAGUUCUGCAAAUCGAUGAAGAGCAAUAAAUACAAUUGCAAGUACGUGAAUAAAUGAAGCAAUAUGGCUGUGUUUCAAAUGAGAAACACAUGAAAUUUAUCAGAAUACCGAUGUGAAUUCUCCUCGAUGAAAUGACAACGACGGAAUAAUAGGAAUAGGAAUAGGAAGAGUCUAAGGCCCUUUUCGGGUUGAAAAUUCGUUCGACAGUCCUGGUGCAAUAAGCGUAUCGUUGUGAUUGUCUUGUCACACAAUGCACGAUUGGAUGCUACUGAAAGGCAUAGUUAGCCCUCAAUAUAGAACUGUUGAAGUGCACGAAGAACACUAAGUCCUUGGGCCUGUUCACGAACGUCACUCCACGGUGAAAACGAAGUGAAUUGUAUACAAACCUUAUUACGGCUGUCACCGUGUGUGUAGAAUCCAGAAGAGUUCAUCCGUCGUGACAACUUUGAUGAACUAGGUGUUCUUAUGGAUACCACGAUACUGUCAUGUCACGGAGAAAAACAGGUAUAUUUGUUACUUGUGUUUUAGAUGGUGAAAGCUAGUCACGCGGAAUUGAGUAAGUAUAAUUUUGUAUUUAUUUAGCUUUUUUGCUAACAUUUUGGAUCUUGUGUUGUGUUGUUUAAGAAACAAAAGAUAAACAAACAGCAAUUUACCCGCCUGGUGGCAUUUUCAGAACGAAAUUCUGACGUAUCCAGAGGUAAAUUUGUUUAUUUGUAUUCGGUAAAUGCGCUAUGGGAUGUAAUUAAGGAUUAAAAAUGUAGUUCCCGUAGGCCCAUUGAAACAUAGCGGAGGUCUACUUCCGAAUGUCUUGAAUGAACAGAAAUUGUUUGUUUCUAUUUUUAGGAUUGGACUAAGAGAGAGUUGCAACACCAUAAAAUGGCAAUGGAGGCCACUGGUCCAAAUACGAUCAUGAUUGAUUAUGGCUAGUUUUUUGUUGUUCAAACAUUCACAUUUGGUGGACCAGACCAAAAUCAGGACGAUAGUUAUAACUUCUUACGUUAUAGAUAUUUUCAACGGUAUUGUUUUGAAGACAUACUUUGAAUGAAAUAAUAUGAAAAAAGUGAUAAUAAGUUUCAAACAAGGAAAAAAUAAGUCAAAGCAUUCACAAGAUACUGUUUUAAAAUUCUUCUCUAGUUCUUUUACCAUAAUUUUGAUAUCCGUCUAAAGAAUCGCUUUCCGUUUUUUUCAAAUUCCUUGAAACCCAUCAUAUAUUUUCUAUAAGGAUUAUGCUCCUGGCCGACGCUGCUGACCAGUUUCUGUUCAAAUAAUUAAAUCAAACCUCAUGUCCCGUAUAUCAAAUUACACGAGAAUUGGAAGGAUAAGAUGAAUAAACUUCAGAAUCCCAUAUGGAAGUAGCUCAGAUUAUACUGAUCGUGAGGUGGAUAAAUUCGGGUUUGUUCUGAGAUAUAGAGGAUAUUAUUAUUCAUCUAAAUUGUAGAAACGGUUCAUAAAAAAUAAUUCUAAAUAUUUCUCACUAUUAAAACGAGUAAGACAGAGCUAAGUACAAGAGUAUGCGAAAUUUCGAUUAUUAAACAUAAUAGUCAUGUUUUAUCUCUAGCGUAGAAUUACAUUCCCAGAUGUUCAACAACUACAUUAUUCCCGAGCAACCAAGUAUUCCUCCUCAUCUUUGAGCCAGCAUUUGAUUCAGCAAACUAAUCAUCGAGGUAUAAUCGCAAACUUGUCUUUCUAAAAUAUUCGAUUAAUUAAAUGGAAUAUUAUCUCAUACGCUGUAUUAAUUUUACCUGCAUAACGUUCAAACGUCCGAAAUUAUGCAACCGACAGAACGUUCAAACACCCGACAUUAUGUUAUACCAACAUGUCUCUUAUAAACGAGAAUGAACACUUUCUCUUCACGGAGUUCAUUUUUACACGCAACUGUCCGUGACAAUGAUGAUAGACAAAAAAGAUUAACCCUCCUGUACUCGCGUGCAAAAUCAUAACACGUAUACUCGCGUACGGUGUCACAGACCGAAAAUCGAACUUCUCUGUAAUGUUGCCAUUGUGUAUUUUUCAGGCUUUGUUGGCAUUUAUUUGAAGAAGAGGGUAUGAUUGAAUGAAAAAACUCCAAAAAAUAUGUUUUCUUCGUCUUUAUUAUGUUUAAAAGUCAUCUAAUUCAGCCUCCUCAAAAUAGAGUAAUUUUUGAUACUCCAACACAAAUAACGAGAUUAGAAUUUUUUACUGUUAUUAAUUAGAAGUAAGCAACUGAAAAUAAUUCAUGGAAGUAUAAAGAGCUAUAAAAUAACAUAAAAACGUAUUAAUCGAUUGUGGUUUCAUUGGUGUGAGAAUCAGAACAUAGCAUAAAUGCAUGCUCGAAACAAACAUAUUUUUUACAUUUCAUGCAGUUGUUGCAUGUUUUUCUGCUCUUUUAUCGAAGAGAAGAAUGUAUGACGACCUAAUUAUUAGAUGGUAAAGAUUCUGGAAUAUAAAGUUUGCAUAUUUCUAAUAUUCUUUGUCUCUGUUUUCUUAGUAAACUAAGAAUUAAUGCCUUUUUUUAGAUGGGGCAUUAAAAGAUGAUAUAAAAGGAUUUCUUUUCCUUUUCUUUUUCUUGUUUUCUUGUCGAUAUUGUCCAUUAUCAAAAAAAUAUCCCCGAAACUGUAACUGUUAAAAAUAACCAUGAGCUACCGAUUAGUUUAUAGUUUACUGUUUACAAUUCUUCCACAAGUGAAAUUCUUUCACAAGUGUGUAUAUGUAUGACCAUUAUAUUUAGCGAAUAACUAUACGAAAGUCAAACAUUUAUAUUUUGCUUUUGAACGUAUAAAUCGAACGACGAAUAAUUAAUAUAUGGAUCCGUUCAAUACAGAUACAAAAGGGACUGAAAUCAAAUAAGAAUAGUCCGGUAAUGAUCUUACGCAUUAUAUUCAAUAAAUAUUCCACGCCACUAACAUUAAUUUAUACAUUUCAUUCAACAAUAUUCUAGAAUAUGAAAAAUGGCACUUGUCCAAAAAAGUUACUCCUAUACUCGCGUCGGUGUGUCAGACCGAAAGUGUUAAAAAAGUAGCACACGUCCCCAUUGUACCAACACAUGCGAUACGCUAAACGAUGACCAACGACGAAUAACGAAGCUAGAGAGAAUCGCAAAAUCGUAGUGUUGAUAUUUUCUGAGAAAUGAACGAAUUAUUAAUUUCUCGGUCUGACAGACCAAUUCGCGAGUAUAGGAGUGUUAAGUGAAGUGUAAGUGACGUGAAAGCGUACGUGGCAGUGAUGUUCAUGAUCAGGCGCCUUACCUCUCUCUCCUUGAAUGCAGGACAUAUCUUAUAAACAGCCCCAUUAUUACUUGGUAUGUGCAUUAUGAACAUUAACCCAAGCUGUAAAAAAUAUUUUUUUAACAAAAGUCAUUGGUGUAAUUUCGAUUAUUGGCGUUACAGAAACCCCAAUCUUCAAGAAUUUUUUUUGUUAUUCCAUUUUCCGGAAAGUGACAAAAAAUCGAAAAAUCGUCAAACAAAAACAUUGGCCAAAACCUACUUUUUUGUUCCUGUAGGAGUUUCAAUCCAAUUGUUUUUUUCCUACAACACAAUGUGUGAUCUUUUAUCAAAGUAGAAAAAUUUACAUAUUUUUGAACACUAUGAGGUAUAUACAUUUGUAAAAACAUUUGACGGAGCACCUGCAUUUUUUAAUCAAUUAAACAAAUUCUAUUUGCAUUGCCGUUACCCAACUGGGAACAACUUUAUUUCGGUUGCGCGUCGCAGUUACACGACAUCUGACCCGGAGUAAACAAGAUAAAUCACUUACAUGUUGGUUAACAUGUUGAACCCCGCGUCGAUCCCUACCGGGCCGACGCUGAGCUUUUCGGUAGGAAAGCGCUGAUUAACUGGGAUGAAGUUUCAGUUUCAAGAAAAUAAAAAUAUAUAUGGUUAGUUUUUUUAAUGUUAUACAAAAUGUGACUACUUUCUAGUCGAAUUUCUGACUAUUUUUUUUACAAUAAGUAUCUUCGGGAGCUGGGACCGACACUGGUAUGCAAACUUUCCGGCGAUUUUCAAUCUUUACAUUUUGUAAAUGAAUAACUGUGAACAAUGUUGUUGGCCACUUUGCUAAGGAAAACCAUAAAUACGGCGAAUGACAGGGCGACGAACGAUAUCGGUUGGAAAUUAUAUAGUUAAGGGUAACACUAACAGUACUUGGUUGCUAAUUUUUUGUAUAGUUAUAGUUUUGCAAGUAUGCAUAUUAUCAUGCAUAUUAUCAGUAUGCACAUUAUCAUGCAUAUGCAUAUUAUCAUGCAUACCGAUAUCAGAAGAAAUAAGGUAGCUCUCGUUAAAUACAAUAUUCUAUCAGCCAUUCCAUACCAAACCGAUAUAGUGGAUUAACAGAUUUCCAUGAAAAGUGGUAGUUUUGUUCUUUAUUGCAAAAUAUUCGACCGUAUUUUUUUUAAUUUUUUCAUUAGGGUGACCAUUUUCAUUUUAGACAGCAAAAAAACAACUACAAUCGAUAAUUAUGAAAACAAAAUCCAAUUUUUCGGCAAGUUCCUCCGGCGAGUCAAAGGUUCCAUAAACAUACUCGAAGAUGUCAAAGCGAUGAGACAGCAACGAAUCCUAUCCAGACUGAGAACCGUCCAGUGCAACAUGUCUCAACAGGGGACUCUUUCAUCCCCUUUGUGAUCUAUGCGAGACCCGCAAUUCGAUUGAACACAUCGUCUGUAUUUACCCGAAGUACGAAGUAUCUCUGAAACUUAUACGGCCAGGACCAUUCGUGAUAUGCUUGGCGAUGAUCCAUCGUGAAUUCCUGCACUGCUCUGUUUUUUUUAAAUAUGCCGAUUUGUAAUUUAAAAUCUAAACAAAAACUGGUGUUUCUUCUCUUUCGCGAUAAGGGGAACAAUCUUCGUCGGCAUCUUCGAACGGCGCGGAUUUCCUAUCAGUGGCCUGGGCCGUGGUAAGCGGACAUCCUCGUCAAACAACCAGGGAGAACAAAUCAAGAAUGUAAAUGUGUGGAAACUCUCGUGAUGAAAUUUGUUUUUUUUUUGUUUAUUGUAUUAUUGCUUGAAUGUAAAGUUGGGGUUCUGCUAGAACGAACCAAGCGCCAAAAACAAUUUGAAGUUCGGGCUCCCACUAAUUGACCGUGUCUGAUCAAAUCUAUUAUUUUAGCGCUCACGUGUUACAAUCAGAAUGUCUUCAAUGCACUGAGACUGUAAAUAUCUGUAAAACAACACAUAAAUAUUGAAAAAUAACUUACUUUGGUAAGCAUGCACUCAGUUCACAUUGAGAGAAUGAAAAUGAAAGAAUAUAAUUUUAAUUUCAGUGUGGUUGGAUGUAUUUUUAGUCUGAAUCAUUACUAAAAUAAUAUUAUUAAAAUUAUUUAGAAAAACUUAAGAUUCUUCGUCGCUGAUCAGGUCGUUACCAAUAUCAACAUUGUUUUGAUUUGAGCUUCAUGAAGAAUUCAUGGUUUAUAGGAGGUACAUAUUUCAUCAGAUGUUGAAUGUCGUUGUACUUCGCAAGAAAAAUUAUGUAAAAGUUCCAUUUUUUUGCUCUAAAUCUAGUACACUGAAAAUAUUAACUUGAAAAUGAUACAUAAUACUGAAACCAAUUCGAUUUGAGUUCGAAUUUUCUCGAAACGAGUUACACGAUUCGAAAUGCGCAAUGCCACCCCAGAAUCAUGAAAAAUGUGAAAAACUAAAUUAUGUCGCCCACACAAAUCUUCAAUAUAUUUGCAGCCAGAGCGAACCAACUAUCAUGCAUGCUAACUAUCAAUAUAAUAUUAUCACACAACACGUUAGUAUUUUGUAACGGAUCUUGAGUAAUUUGAUAAAUAGUAUAAGUUACAAUAUCGGACGGUGGACGUUCUUCUUAAAAAAGGUUCACACCUGCUUCUAUCGGAGUCUAAAUACAAACUGCUUUUAUUUAUUGCUCGGAAAUGGAUUUACAAUGAAAAUGCUUAUUCUACAAAAACCUACACCUGGCGACAAAUCGAUCGGACGAUCGAUAGCGCUUACCUAGCUCAGCACAAAAUGUGUACUUUGGUGCCCUCGUUCGAUGAGGUAUUUAUGUCAGCAAUAUUUAUAUUUUGGUGCCAUGUGUAUCUGCGUGUGACUUAUAUAUGGUCGGUGUUAAGUCAGACCGGGCCAUGUGAUAUUUUUAUGAUUUCGAGAAAAAUGAGUUUUAAGUUUGGUGCUAUGAGGGGUUUUCAUUGAGCGUUCAAACCAUUUUCGAGUGAUUUUUCAAAUCUGAUGAAUGUGGAAUGAAGCUUACAACAUGUGUAGCCUAAUGCGAUCAAUAACUCGAUUUUUUUUUAAAUUUUGCGACUUGGUCCGCUCUGACUUAACACCGACCAUAUAUUGACUCACUUUUGCUGUUUUUGACAAAAUAAUAUCUUAAUAAAUGAAAAUAAAUUAAAUUAAAAAUGUAUUAUACAUGGCUGAUCGCGAUUUUGAAAAAUGCAGAUCAGCCUUAUUAACAUGAUUUUACACUUUAGGGCAGCCUUGACUAUCUUACUUACCACAUCACAACGAUAACUGUUCCCAAGAGCUGUUCGAAACAGGAAUAUCCGGAUAAGUAGGAAAAAUUGUCUUUUUGAAGGAAACUAUCACUAUCCUCCGAUGCAUGUUGUUGGUUUAUGGUUCGCUCUGUUUGAAUGCAAAUUUGUCUUUUUCGCAGCCUGCUACACGGAAUUUUUGUUUUGAAGCUGUUAUCAACUGUCCGAAUGAAACGGUUAAUUUAUUGUCGAUAGAUUAUCAGUUGCUGCAUCCAGUGGUGUAAGUAGCUGAGUUUUGAAAAAAUUGACGCUUGAUUCAUUCUGACAGAACCCUGACCAAUUAAUGUUCGAAAUAAAAUUAUUGUAAGCGCACAUCGCGGCACUGUUUCGGUCGUUUUUGAUGAGAAAUCAGCUUAUAGGCUGAAAGUCUCAAAAAAAAAAGAAUGAAAAAAAAUUAUUAUUUUUUUCCGCUCUUCCGUUUUCAGGAAAAUGACAAAAAAAACCAAAAAACCGCCAAAUAAAAACAUUGGCCAAAACCUACAUUUUUGUUCCUGUAGGAGGUGUAAUCCAAUGGUUUUUUCCUACAUCACAAUGUGUGAUCUUUCAUCAAAGUAAUACUGUAGAAAAGUAUUUUAUACUACUAGUACUGUAUUAGUAUUUUAUAUUUUUUAUAUUUUAUAUUUUAUAUUUUAUAUUUUAUAUUUUAUAUUUUAUAUUUUAUAUUUUAUAUUUUAUAUUUUAUAUUUUAUAUUUUAAAUUUUUGAAUUUUAUAAGGCUUUGUUUUUGUAAGGUUAUGUGAAAUUAUGUACUUUCACACAUAGUUGUUUCGAAUCGAAUUUAUUGCCCAAUAAAUUUAUACAAAAUUGAACCAAUUGACAGUGAGUGGUAGCUAAUAAACUAAGCCCAAACUAUAUCAUAUUAUGGUUGCUUUCCAAAGCCAUGAAAAUUUAUCAAAGUUGCUGGUCGAUUUUUCGAACGCUAGGCACAAAGGGGGUUAACAGGGCGUGCGUUAACACGUUAAGCCCCGCGUUGGUUCGUAGGAACCCACAUUGAGUUUUUUGUUAGAGAAUUGUUGAUCUCUAACUCUCUCUCUAACUGACAGUUACGAAGUAAGAAAACACAAAAUAUAUGGCUUUGUUUUAGGAUGUGUAACGAAUUGUGACUACUUUUUGUGGAAUCUCUGACUACAGUAGAACCUCGAUUAUCCGCGAGCGGAUUCGCGGAUUAUCCAGAUACGAGUUCCAUAGUAACUAUAUAGGUACUUGCUCUUUUGUUUUGAUUAUGGCUUCCACAUUAUCUGAACACUGGUGUACAAGAUCUUACAGAUGGAUAGUUUGAUGAUUUCUGUAUUGAUAAAACAUAAUUUUAAUGCUGAUAUAUUUUAGUCUUUCAUCACGUUAUCCGCAAUUUUUAUUAUUCGCGGAUAAUCGGGGCUCUACUGUUUUUUUUUGUUUUAUAUACAAUAAAUAUAUUUGGAAGAUGGGACCGACAUUUUCAAAGCGCUUUUGAUGCGAGCUGAAUGAAAAGCGAGAACUUUUCGGAGCUUAGUAUGUUAACUAGGCUGUCGUCCAUUUAUGUAUCAAUAAUAGACGCUAUAUUCCAUUUGCAGUUUUGCAGUUUAUUUUGCAUUGAUUUUUUCGCCCAGUUGUGUCGAUUGGACAUAGACAUCAGGCGACAUAGGCAUCAUAGGAGGAAUAGUGACUUGCUUGUAACAGAAGGAUGUCAUCACGAAUAAGAGAAAAUAAUAUAUUAAUCAAAUAAAUUGCUUUAAAUGUAUAUUUGAACUGUGUCUCUAUAACACAGGAUUUCGGAAACCACCAUAACACUGAUCCGAAAAAUUGAAAGCGCAAAUAGUAAAUCAUCCAAAACUAAUUAUUCUUAAGAAAAAUUCAUGCUAUGCACAGAAAUGGUUGCUCUAAAAUGCUUCUUCUUUUUGCUGCACGAGCCAAACCAAAUCUGCUUUAAUUUAGAUACAGUUUUCUUAAAAGUAAUAUCCAUCAUUGUGGUUAGUUUCAAGGCAGUUGUUUCUUAAAAUAAUUGGUUGUGUAGAUGCUGCAAAUUCGGUUAGAAUUAUGAUUUUUGGAGGAAGUAUUCUUCAAUAUCAAACUUAUUCACCUACCCGAAACAUUCGAAGUGAAAUACUCUAAUUUAAAUAAAAUAUCCGGCCUGACGAAUAAUGUUAAAAUGAACAGAAAUCCCGAACGCUAGAUCUAUUUUAAUUCACCGAAAUGUCUGAAAAAUAUAUCGCAAAAUUUAAAUAGAUUGAAAUUGAUUAUACUAAUACGUUGCGUUUCAUGCUCUCUGUUGGACAUAUACCAUUUGCUGCAACAUGCUACUUAUGUCAAGCAUUCUACCCCUAACGAAACUUCUCAAAGUUGUCGUGUUCAUGUUCUGAAUUGCAUUUUUUAAAAUUCUAGCUAUUGAGGAACUAACUUACAACAAAAAUUUACAAUUUGUGAACGUGCACUUACUCUGGUGUUGCUGACAUGGGUAGCAUGUAUUUCAAGGUUGGUAGUAAUUUUUGAUGUUGAUUUCUAGAGCUACCUUCUCUGGCAUAUUAAUAAAUCGAUAUACUUCAUCAUGUUUUCUUUGUAUAUAUUAAUCACAGAAAUAUUUUAACAUUAUGGUUUCCUCAAAUCAAACGGUGUUCAUUUUUUCACAACGGACAAAAUUAAGUUUGUUGAAAUUAUUCAUCUACGUCAUUAUGUUCAUUAAACUGCUUAGCGACAUAUUAUCCCUUUCGUGGCACGGAAAGAAAUAACUAUUUAAAUAGAAUCUAUUUACAUGUAUUAUAUUACUAUGGUAUUCAAAAUAUAUCAAAAAUAAUGAUCCAAUUGUAUAAAAACAAAUAUAAGCAUGUUAUAUGAAUGACGAGUAUUGAAACUACAAAACCUUUUCGCCUGAGUGCGCAUGACAUAUCAAAGAUAGAGAAAAAAUCAAAUCAUAUUAUCUAUAUGAAGAAACAGUACUAUUCCUACUAUUUGAAAUGGAAAUGAAAAAUUUAGAAGACGUACAAAUUGGGCCUACCAUGUAUAAACCUAACAAAUCAGUACAUGUUCUCUUAAAAGCUAUGCUAAUUGUAUAGAAACCCCAUUUCUGGAAUAAGAUUGCUGUUGUUUCUGCUCCUUCUUGAUACUGUUGCCGUUUUGCAUGAUUGAUUCACUACUGAAGUUCUUUCAAAUGUAAUUGAUUGUGCAUGUUAGCAAAACCAACUUCAUUAAGGUUUUCAGAAUUGUAUUCCAUUUAAUGAAAGAAUCAUGCAGUACAAAUAUCCAAGAAUCAAUCUCGCCUUUUAUUUGUGUUGAUCGCAUAUUUUCAAUAAUAGCAGAAUAACUUCACUGUACUCUUCAGUAUGAUUUGUUCAAAUAUAGUGCCUAUUGUGUAAACUUAUGUCCCGUUUACGUUUAUAUGAAUCAUUACUACUUAAUAAAUAAUCAGCCAUUGUUAGUACUGACCUGCAGAUGCUGUCUAUUCCACCCAUUCCGCAAGACCACGGGCAACCAAUUCUUUGUUAAUAAAUAAUACGUUCUGCGGAAGAAAAAGGCAUAAUUACAACAUGUUACCAUAAUUACUUUGAUUGAUUGUAAAAAUUAUUCUCAUAUACCGCGAUACGUGACCAACAAAACUGUCACAGUAAAGUGACUGCAUCUUUUCUGAUUGUUUAUAUAUUCAUAUUCAUAUAACCAUUGUAUGCGUAACGUUAUAGAGCAGUGGUGGACAAUUACGAGCAACUAAUUGUUCAAAUGUUAGGCUGCAGUCUAUCAUCGUUGACUGUAUCAAAAUGUCAUUAGAAAAUGAAUGUAAAGCGUGUUCGCGAUAAAAUCUGGACAGCUCAAUCUUAGAAUAAAGCGAAUUUGCUAAAAUUUAAUCCAUGAAACAAUUUUAUUUCAUUUAUGUGUGUAUCGUUAACAAUCAUAAAUUACCAUUACUCUUUUGGUCUGCAUGAAAAGUUGGCGAACUUUAGAGUUUAGCCCAGGUCAGUGCAGACUUGUUGGCCACAAAUUUAGCUGCGUUUGCCCAAGAUUUUCAAAAAAAAUCUAUAAUUGUUUCUUGUUAUUUGCGCUGGGACAGCUCUCUUUUCAUUAGAGCCCAAUACCGCUUGAUGGAACGUAACUCUGGGCAGUUGGAUGAAUUUGCCUCCUUCGGUAUAAUAUGGACUCCAUUAACAUCAUACCAUUCCAAAACAUCCAAAACAUCCAUUUGACAGGAUGCCAAAUCAGGCCAGAACAGUGAAGGUACAUCAUGGCUGCAUAGGAACGGUAACAAUCUGCAGGCAUUCUUCACGGCAGAUUUCCUUGUUAACCGUUCUUCUUUUGCUUGAUCGACCACAGCUGCAUAUGACCUGCCAAAUUAAUAUUUUUGGGGAACUUGGCAUCAGGGCUCGAAAUCUUCGAAGGUGAAAAAUGAAAACCGACUCUACUCCCAGUAGCUUCGCUUCGACUAGAACUGCUUCGGCAGUCGCCGCAAACAAAAAAUGACUUGACUAGAAAAUGAAUUGACUAGCGCUGACUAGCGAGGAUGACUGGUGAACUAGUCCAGUCAGUGGUUAUUUUAACUGACUCGACUAAUGAAUACAAAUCUGCCUCUUCAUUCAACUGACUUCAAUCCACAUUCCCAUUUCCCCCUGAUACUAAUUUUGUACACGCGUACGCAUGUCCAUAUAAAGAGGAACGAAAAUUUGAUUCCUGAUGCAAAAAAGUAGUUACCCCAUCAAUGGGCGAUUUUUUUUCUACCCAUCGUGAACUCAAACCAACGAACUUAGACAUUUAUCAAGUAUGCUAUAAAGGUCCUCGCAUUAGUAUUAGUUAGUAUAAGGCGUGCAAAAUAGCGCACACGCACUGCACGCUAUUUUAUACGUGUGAGUAGUUUUCGUGUACGCUACAAAAAAAUCUAGCUCACCUCUAGCGUUUGUCAAACCACGGUGAACUCAAACAUCGAUGGAUGCAAACGUGCAUGGGAGGGAGAGAGAGAGGAACGAAUUCGUUUUGGGGGAAGCCACUUCAAAAUGCAAUGAGGACAAUUUGACUGGGAAGAAUGGAAUGAUAUAGUCGAAUCGGUAGAGGGAGAUAGCGACUAAACGCCCGACUGACUGUUCAGUCGUUUUGGCGGAGAAACUGCGUGAAGAGCCAAGUCAUUUACCGACUGACUAUGGAUAUAGUACAUUAUUCAAUAAAAUAAAAAUAAUUAUCGGUUACUAAAUAAUUGAUAAAUAAUACUUUAUUUUCUGUUCUGUCUCAUCAAUCAAUAUCGUUGAUUCUUCACGGAAAUUAUCGUUUAUAAACUAGGAUUGGGCGAUCUGGGAUCGAUCUUUUACAUUCCGAUUUCUGAUUUUUUGGAUCGGUCUUUUGUACCCAAGAAAAUCGAGGAAAUCGAUUUUUUCACUUUCGAUCUUUUCGAUCUUAGAAAAACUUUUUUAAAUUUGUUUUUCAAUAAAAAUCGAUUUUUAUCUCACCAAAGGACAACUUACUUUUUUUUAAACAUAAUGUCAACAUUUGGAUCGCUUCUUCUACAAUUUAUUUCUGUGAAUGAGUUCGGUGCGGCAUCGUUCUGGGCUGUUGUUGAAUAGCGGUUGUUGAAUCUAGUAAUGCUUUUUCAAUUUGCCUGACGGGACAAGAUGAAUACAUCAUGUCCUUCAUGCUGGGGAACAAAACAAAAUGCUUUUGAUGUAUGAAUUGAAAUAUCAAAUUUGUACUCCCUGUUUAGAGAAUAAACGACAUUCAUAUAGAAUAAGCACCUGCUUAUUCUUUUAAUUUUUUAAGCUUUUAAUUUUUCAAAGAUCGAUUCAGCAAAGAUCGAUUCUUUGGUACCGAUUAAAUCAGUUGAUCGAUCCCUACCCUGUUUGGAAAAUCAAUUCGUCAAGAUCGAUCUUUUUGAAAAGAUCGCCCAAUCCUAUUAUAAACAUACAAAGCAUUUAUUUUCAUGAAAAUACAGCUAAGAUCAUUAUUAAAUUUCCUCCCUUAGAGGUUUUUACCCUUACCUCAAAGUAAUUGGAUAAAAACUAUCUAUCCGAAAUAUUGGCCCCUUUUAUAUAAAUUGAAUCGAACGGUUGAUUGGAUCCCUCUAAUUAUCAAACCGAGCAGAUUUUCGUAUUUUGUAAAUCGAUAGAAUCUUAUAGAGUCGAGUUCUUUAUUGAACGGCAUGUGUAGCGAAUUGCAUAUUUUGAAACGUUGCCGGAAUGUUUCCCAAUUAAAGCAUCAGGAAUGCAAAAAGCAAAACAAACAGCUCGAAAAAUUAUGCCGAUAGUUUUCACCCGACUGUAUUCGCAGUCUUCAAAGGCAAAGUAUUCACAAAACUGUUGAAAACCCGUCUAUGUUGGAAUUUCUCGUUAAACGCUUCCGUGAGCGGUUGACUGUUGAUCCAAUUUCGAUGGCACGCUUGCCAAAUUGGCCGAAAUGGCAGAUAAGAUGGUGGAUUCUUCCGGAUCACACGUAGCAGCAACUACAUUGCAAGGAGGCGAUCUGGCGUAGUGGUAGGUAACAUCCAUACCUCUCAUGCUCAAGAGUUCAAUUCUCACUCCCGAUAUUCUUCCAAAAAUGGAAGCAAAAGUGACGAACCAGCCAAAAGUGUUGAAAAUCACUAUAAUACAGGAAAAAACUGCAUUGCAAGCCCCAUCUCCGACACAGGAGGAACUCGGCGAACAAUUCGCUUCUUGAUCAUUACCGGAUCGGAUGUUUCGAUCCUACCUGCUACCAGAAGAGACAAGACUAAAUCACCGAUCCGGUUCCUACUGCACGCUGCAAAUAGUACGAACAUCCCUACUUUCGAUACACGUUUCCUGUACGUGGAUCUUGGACUUCGCAGAAGAUUUUCGUAGAACUUUCUCGUUGCAGAAGUUAGUACUGCCAUAAUUAGAUCAGAUUUCCUGUCUCAUUUCUGUGUAAUGGUAGAUCUCAAGCACCGUACCAUUAUCGAUGGAACAACAAAGCUAAAGACCACAAGCGGGGUGAUGAAAACGUCCCUUCACGAUAUUACAACAAUCAACUAUGAUAUUCCAUUUCGGCUUUUGCUUGAAGAAUUUCAAAUCAUAACACGUCCAUCACAGAAGUUCACCAUGAUGUUACGCACCAUAUUGUGACUAAAGAACCCCCGACCGCUUGUAAAGCACGUAGGAUGUCGCCAGAUAAGCUGUUACUCGCUAAACAGGAAUUUCAAACUAUUAUGGAUCUGGGCAUUUGCCGUCGCUCCAGUAGCUCACAUCCACACGUCCACGAUCUACUAAACUCAUUCCACGGGCUUACCAUCAGAUACCCAUAGAGAAAGAAGAGCCAAAAACGGUCGUUAUAACACCAUUUGCACUGUUUCAAUUUUCCAGGAUACAAUUUGGCCUGCGUACAUUCCAAAGAUUUAUGCAUAGACUAUUCGGCUAUCUCGAUUUUGUUGUCGUCUUUAUUGAUGAUAUAUGCAUAGCAUCGUCUUCUAUCGAAGAGCAUUAUCAACACAUACGAAUAGUGUUCGAUCGGCUUCGCUCAAACAGCAUGGUAAUAAACCUACCUAAAUGUAAAUUUGCGAAACCAGAAGUUGAAAUCAUCGGCUAUCUCGUUGGGAAGGAUGGUGUAAAACCGUUACCCAGCAGGGUGGCAGCUGUAUUAAAUUUUACUCGGCCAACGACGAUUAAGGACCUUCGGCGAUCUCUUGCACUUGUAAAUGGAUACAAACGGUUCGUCCGUCAAGCAACCGACAUGCAGGCAGCGCUAAGAUGUCUCAUCAUAGGUAACAAGAAGAAUGAUUCAAGAAAAAAUCACUGGACCGAACUAGCAUGAAAGCUGUAAAAAAGCACUAGCAGAAGCAACAUUACUCUACUAUCCUGAUCCAGAGAAACCUACCUAUGGACCUACUCGGAGCAAUUCUGCAGCAAAUGGUGGAUGGGACUUGGCAGCCGCUAAACUUCUAUUCGAGGAAAUUUUCAUCAAGUCAACGCAAUCAUUCUACUUUUGGACGGGAGUUGAUAGCCAUGAAAAUGGCCAGAUACUUUAGACAUCUGUUGGAGGGUCGCCAAUUUACGAUAUUCACCGAUCAUAAUCCUUUACCAUAAUUUCGAAUUCUGCUUGUCGAUUACUCCACGAAGAAUGUUGCAGUACAUUCUCAGUUUACCACCGAUAUCAAACACAUUAGUGGGAGGUACAACGUGGUUGCCGAUAGGUUGUCUAGAAUUGAUACCAUCAGCUCUCCUUCGCCGAUUGAUUAUCGAACCAUUGCACAGAGGUUACUCACAUCGACUAGUUCUUCGUUAAAUCUGAAACCUUGCAGUCGUGUUCAAAACCCCUAUACUGUGAUGUCUCUGUGAAUGGCUCCGCUUGUCCAUAUGUUCCAGAGCCACAUUAUUUUAGUCACAUUAGUCGCCUGAUUAUGAAGCACUUCCAUGACAUUGCCCAUCAUGCGAGCAACUUGUAAGGAUCUAUCAAGUAGAUUCGAAUGGCCAAAAAUUAACAAAGAUGCGACAAGUUCGUGAGGAAUUGUGUCGCAUGCCAGAAAUCAAAAGUUCUACGUCACAAAACUGCCCCACUUGCUUCGUUUGUCUUGCCUAAGUGUCGCUUCAAUCAUAUCCACAUUGAUUUAGUGGGCCCAUUUUCACCAUCUAACGGCCACGUUUAUC